AUCAUGACCUGAGCCAAAGGCAGACACUUAACUGACUGAGCCACCCAGGCGCCCCCCAACACUUUUUUCAAGACAUUAAACUUUCAUGUUCAAGUUGUGAUUUUUGAAAAUAUAAACUGCUGUCAUCAAAAUAGUGUCACUGCAAAGGAUGGAAAAAUAAUGUAGCACGUUUACUAAAAAGAAAGCAGAGCCAUUUAUAUAAAGGACAGGACUUUUAUGCAGUAAAAAAGAAAUAGGAAAAUG